GAUGAACGCUGGCGGCGUGCCUAAUACAUGCAAGUCGAGCGAAUGGAUUAAGAGCUUGCUCUUAUGAAGUUAGCGGCGGACGGGUGAGUAACACGUGGGUAACCUGCCCAUAAGACUGGGAUAACUCCGGGAAACCGCGGCUAAUACCGGAUAACAUUUUGAACCGCAUGGUUCGAAAUUGAAAGGCGGCUUCGGCUGUCACUUAUGGAUGGACCCGCGUCGCAUUAGCUAGUUGGUGAGGUAACGGUUCACCAAGGCAACGAUGCGUAGCCGACCUGAGAGGGUGAUCGGCCACACUGGGACUGAGACACGGCCCAGACUCCUACGGGAGGCAGCAGUAGGGAAUCUUCCGCAAUGGACGAAAGUCUGACGGAGCAACGCCGCGUGAGUGAUGAAGGCUUUCGGGUCGUAAAACUCUGUUGUUAGGGAAGAACAAGUGCUAGUUGAAUAAGCUGGCACCUUGACGGUACCUAACCAGAAAGCCACGGCUAACUACGUGCCAGCCGCCGCGGUAA
rnacentral:rRNA from 1 species